GACGAACGCUGGCGGCGUGCUUAACACAUGCAAGUCGAACGGUACGGCCCUUCGGGGUACACGAGUGUCGAACGGGUGAGUAACACGUGGGUGAUCUACACUGCACUUCGGGAUAAGCCUGUGAAACUGGGUCUAAUACCGGAGAGGACGACUGCCUUCAUGCGUGGGCGUAGAGAGCCUUUGCGGUGUGGGAUGGGCACGCGGCCGAUCAGCGUGUGGGGGGGGUGGUGGCCUACCGAGGCGACGACGGGUAGUCGGCGUGACGAGGGUGAGCUGACACACUGGGACGGGGAUAAGGCCCAGACCACUACGGGAGGCAGGAGUGGGGAAUAUUGCACAAUGGGAGCAAGCAUGAUGCAGCGACGCCGCGUGAGGGAUGACGGGCUUCGGGUUGGAAACCUCUUUCAGCACCGACGAAGCGCAAGUGACGGUAGGUGCAGAAGAAGGACCGGCCAACUACGUGCCAGCCGCCGCCGUAA
rnacentral:rRNA from 1 species